AGAUGGUGUUCUGGGCAAUUUCUUAGCAUUCCCUUAUAUCUCUCCCAAGAUUCAUUUAAAGAUUCACCAUCGUUUUGUUGAAAAUUCACUAUUUUCUUCUUGAGUUU